GAUGAACGCUGGCGGCGUGCCUAAUACAUGCAAGUCGAGCGAACAGACGAGGAGCUUGCUCCUCUGACGUUACCGGCGGAUGGGGCGUUAACACUUGGAUAACCACCUUAUAAAACUGGGAUAAAUUCGGGACACAGACCCUAUACCCGUGUACUAUAUUUACCCCCAUGGUUAGAUAUUUAAAGACGGUUUUUCGUCCCCUUAUAUAUGAACCCGCUCCGCAUUAGCUAGUUGGUAAGGUAACGGCUUACCAAGCCAACGAUGCGUAGCCGACCUGAGAGGGUGAUCGGCCACACUGGAACUGAGACACGGUCCAGACUCCUACGGGAGGCAGCAGUAGGGAAUCUUCCGCAAUGGGCGAAAGCCUGACGGAGCGACGCCGCGUGAGUGAUGAAGGUCUUCGGAUCGUAAAACUCUGUUAUGAGGGAAGAACAAAUGUGUAAGUAACUAUGCACGUCUUGACGGUACCUAAUCAGAAAGCCACGGCUAACUACGUG
rnacentral:rRNA from 1 species